GACGAACGCUGGCGGCGUGCUUAACACAUGCAAGUCGAACGAUGAAGCCGGAGCUUGCUCUGGUGAAUUAGUGGCGAACGGGUGAGUAACACGUGAGUAACCUGCCCUUGACUCUGGGAUAACUGCGGGAAACUGUAGCUAAUACCGGAUACGACCCUCGGAGGCAUCUCCUGGGGGUGGAAAGAAUUUCGGUCAAGGAUGGACUCGCGGCCUAUCAGCUAGUUGGUGAGGUAAAGGCUCACCAAGGCGACGGCGGGUAGCCGGCCUGAGGGGGUGACCGGCCACACUGGGACUGAGAGACGGCCCAGACUCCUACGGGAGGCAGCAGUGGGGAAUAUUGCGCAAUGGGCGCAAGCCUGAUGCAGCAACGCCGCGUGAGGGAUGACGGCCUUCGGGUUGUAAACCUCUUUUAGCAGGGAAGAAGCGAAAGUGACGGUACCUGCAGAAAAAGCACCGGCUAACUACGUGCCAGCAGCCGCCGUAA
rnacentral:rRNA from 1 species